rnacentral:lncRNA from 1 species
CGUGUUUCUUUUGUGUUUUGGUUGUUUGAUCUUUUUUUUUAGUUUACUCUUAUAUCAGUCAAUCAAUAAGACGGCAUCAUACAUGGUGACCUCUGCUUAACGUAGAUUGAAUGUGUGUUUGCAGUGAACAAUUUUAUUACAUGGGAAUGGUCUUUCAGAUGAUAAUUGGUCAUUUUAUUAUGAAUCAUUGACCAAAUCAAUGCAAUUAAUAGGUAAUCAACAAUCGAAAGAUGAUUGAUAGGAACGCCAUCUGCUUGUGUACUGAUUAUAGAAGUGCCUUAUCAGAAUCUUUC